UACGGAGGGUGCAAGCGUUAUCCGGAUUCACUGGGUUUAAAGGGUGCGUAGGCGGAUAGGUAAGUCCGUGGUGAAAUCCUGCAGCUUAACUGCAGAACUGCCAUGGAUACUAUCUAUCUUGAAUGUCGUGGAGGUUUGCGGAAUAUGUCAUGUAGCGGUGAAAUGCUUAGAGAUGACAUAGAACACCCAUUGCGAAGGCAGCUAACUACGCGAUAAUUGACGCUGAUGCACGAAAGCGUGGGGAUCAAACAGG
rnacentral:rRNA from 1 species